GUCCUAAAGAACAAGCCUAAAUCAAGUCAUUGGCACAGAGGCAUUAGACAGAAAGCUAGAAGUUGAAAUGGUGGAGUCCAACUUGUCUGGACCAGCUUUAUGGUUCUGCUACUGGUAACAUUUUUAUCCAUGAAUGGCUUGCUUGGAGUUUUUAAUGACCACAGCAAGCAAGUAUGCAGUUUACCUCUUGAAAGGGUCUUGCCUCACCCAGGCUGGAGUGCAACGGCCCUUUGAGGCUCACUACAGCCUCAGACUCCUGGGCUCAAGUAAUCCUCAGCCUCCCAGUGGACUUUGUAGACAGUCUGAUGGAGUCUCAUGGCACAAGAAGAUUAAAAAAUAUCUCCAAUUUUAAUAAAUUUCUGCAAUCCAAAAAAA